CCUACCGAACUUGACCAAUGUCUUUCCAGACUCAUUUCCAGAGCUUUUGAGUGGCACAUGCCAGAAACUAGCGCUAUAUAAAUAUUUGUAUGUAUGUAUGUAUAUAUAUUAAGUUUCAAUUAUUC